rnacentral:rRNA from 1 species
GGAUUAAUACCGCAUACGGCCUGAGGGUGAAAGCGGGGGACCGAAAGGCCUCGCGCUAUUGGAGCGGCCGAUGUCGGAUUAGCUAGUUGGUGGGGUAAAGGCUUACCAAGGCGACGAUCCGUAGCUGGUUUGAGAGGACGACCAGCCCCCCUGGGACUGAGACACGGCCCAGACUCCUUCGGGAGGCAGCAGUGGGGAAUUUUGGACAAUGGGGGCAACCCUGAUCCAGCCCUGCCGCGUGCGGGAAGAAGGCCUUCGGGCUGUAAACCGCUUUUGUUUGGGAAGAAAUCCUUUGGGCUAAUACCCCGGGGGGAUGACGGUACAAGGAGAAUAAGCCCCGGCUAACUACGUG